rnacentral:lncRNA from 1 species
CGGCCCCGGGGCCAUAGCAGAAACGGCGCCCACACCGAGCCCACUGCGCGGGGGCAGGGUCCGAGGGGAGGCAGGGAGUCCACGUCUCCCGUUUCAGAAUCACGGAAGAAAAUCUUCCCGAUUCAGUUCACGGUCCUGAGGGGCAAAAAUGUCUGUUCUGCGAGGGUCACUCAGUUCCGGUCUGGUGGGGGGCGGGGGAGCACGCUGACAGCCAGUUGCCCCGGCGGGAGCCCUGGACCCUGGCUUUUCAUCACAGCCAGAAUCUGUGCUGGGAUCCAGUUGGCCAUCCUGGCCUCCCCAGUCCUCAGGGUCUGGGGAACAGAAAAAGAGCGCGGGGCGGGGGGCCUGGAGGCGGUGGGGUGGAGUGGAGUACAGAACGGCCUUCGUGUCCCUGGCGUCUCCGGAGGGGCUGGCUCCCAGCUCCAUUCUGAGGAGUUGGAAUCCCACCCAGUCCUGUUGUUGUGAUCUCAAUUCAAGAGGAAGGUGUGAUAUGGCGUCUGUCUGGGUUGGACACCGAGGGACAAUGAGAGAUCAUCCAGGCUUUAACCCAUCUGUGGAUGCUGAGGCGAUUCAUAAGGCAGUCAGAGAAAUCGGAACUGAUGAGAAGACGCAGCUCAGCCUCUAGAGGAUCACAGAGAAGGAGGCUUGUUGUGAAACUGAGUCAGAAGGAUGCUCUUAUAGCAGACUUUCAAGACAACCCUUAGCCCGGGAUAACAACCAGAGGAUGACUGGCCUGAGAACUUGGUAUUCCAGAAAGCAGAAUUCAGUUUUGACACCAGGAAGGGGACUAACAAAAGGAACGAUAUCUUCACGGAGGCGGCUUGUAUAUUCUGGAACUGUACCUUCUAUGGGGAGACCCGGCCCUUGGGUUCAUAGCUUGUUCCCCUGGGGGCUGAAUGGACUUGGGUCAUAAGGGAAGUUUGUGAUACUUCCAUCAGGCGUGGUUCGCCCUAGCUCGCUAUGUGCUGCUUCUCCCCGUUUUUGAAAAGAAGGCAUCUUCAUGCCACAUCAGGCUUCGCCUCAAAGGAGAACACAUUUGGAGUGCCUUUCAAGUGAUGCAAACUCCCUGUACCAAACCAGUGCACAGAGUUCAUUGGGCAGCACUUUGGCUCAUUUUCCUAGGUAUAGGACAGGCCUAGAUGGGAAAAAGGCAAGGUUUGGUCUCCGAAGUAAACCCGCACUGGGGCUGGUGUUCACUCACUGAAUAGGAUACACUUUGCAAGGAGAAACGUUGCACAUUCAUCUUUUGUGGAGUUUGUGAGAUUUCCGUCCGGCGUGGAUUGCCCUAGGUCACUGUGUGCUGCUUUUUCCCGCUUGUGAAAAGAAGGCGUUUUCAUGCCACAUCAGGCUUCUCCUCAAAGGAGAACACGUUUGGAGUGCCUUUCAAGCGAUGCAAACUCCCUGCACCAAACCAGUGCACAGAGAGCACCUUGGCUCAUUUGCCGUAUGUAUAGGAGUGGCCUAGGUUGGAAAAAGGCAAGGGUUGCUUUCCCGAGCAAACCCGCACUGGGGCUGGUGUUCGUUCACUGAGACAGGAGCUCCUGAGUGUUACAGCUCUUAAAGUCACCUCUUGACCAGGUCAAAAUGACAACGGUCUUCUACCACCUGGCUUUCUUCAGGAAGUGAUAAAAUAUCCCAACCCAACCAGCUCCUGCCCCAGGCAUCCUGUCAGGCCCUAUUGGCCAGAAUAGGGUAAGAUGCUCUCCACACCCCCAGCCACUCCUAACAAAGAGGAAGGGGAGGACCGGGAUGGAUUUCCUGCAGUCACGAUGCAUUCCCAGGUAGCCCAUUGAUUGCAUCAGGAGACCCGAACAGUUCACAUUUUAUUCAUGAGUAUUACUGUGGUUCCGGGUAGAAGAAAUGGCUGCUGGGAAAAUACCAACAAUGUUUGUAAGGACAGUCACGGACCAAAAGUCCGCAGAGGGUAUGGAUUGUCCUUGGAGCUGAAGAAGUCACGGAAGAUAGGGAGUUCCCAUUGUGGGACAGCAGAAGUGAAUCCGAGCAUCAUCCGUGAGAAUUUGGGUUCGAUCCCUGGCCUCACCAGUGGGUCAGGGAUCCAGUGUUGCUGUGAGCUGUGGAGUAGGUUGCAGAUGCAGCUUGGAUCCUGCAUUGCUGGCCCUGUGGUGUAGGCUGGCUGCUGCAGCUCCUAUUAGAGCUCUGGUCUGGGAAGGUCCAUGUACCACGGCUGUGGCCUAAAAAAACAGUUACAGAAAAUAAAGACAGGGGUGCAGUGGUGCCGGCAGCACAUGGGACUAAAGUCUUCAGUGAUGAGCACAACGACAGAGAAGGGACAAAUGACUGCCCAGGAGGAGUGAUGAGGCUGUGUCUAGGAAGGCCACAACCACCUUACCAGACGGGCGGCCUGCUCCCUCUGUUGCCCUGGACCCUCGGGUGUGAGGACCGAUCCUCUGCUCAGAGUCCAGCCUCCUCUGUCCUCCUUGCUUCAUUCUACCUGCAGCCCACCCAUCUUUCUUUGGAUCUGCCUUUCUUUGAGAAGUUAUCCUCUGUAUUGGCUAUCAGGUGGCAGAACCUGUGGACCCAAAAGGAGCAGUUGCACUGGCAGGGACUAGGUGGACCUCGGGUCGCCAUGGAAAACUCUUGGUGGAGCACAGGCAAGAGUUGGGGCGGGAGGACCUGCACCCCAUAAGAAAUACCCACCAGCUCUCAGAUCCUCGAGGGUUGUAGGAGCACCGAGACAUUCAAGCUGGGAAAUGAAGACUGUGAUAGGGCAGAGCGAGACCCAAGCUUCCCCGGGCAAUGGCAGCGUGAGCUCCUGUCCAACUGCCAAAAGAUGAGAGUUGGCAUCUUACCAGAAGGUUUGGAGGGAUAGGAUGAGAGACGCCUGGCCAUUGGCCGGAAGCGCAUGGCGGGGGAGGGGGUUGCGGAAGCUGCCUCGUGAUUGGCCCGGGCCACGGGGAUGUCACAGGGAGGCAUUGUGACUUGAGGGCAAGGCAGUUAUAAAAGCCCAGUGCUUCCACCGUCUCCCAGACGGAGGAUAUGGCUUUUCAGCUGUUCCUGCUCUUGCUCUUCAAGGCGGUGUCCUCUGCCGCCUUCUCUGCACCUGCACAUGGCAUGCCCCAGGCCCACCUGUCCUGCCCCGGGCCUCUCACCCACACUUGGUGUACCACAUUCCUGUUCGCAUCCAGCUUUGAGCCCCUUUGCGGGCGGAUGAGCCUGCGCACCCGCACCCGGCGCCUCCUCCACCCGCAGCCCUCCUCGGGCCUGGCCCAGCUCCUCAACACUGUGCUCAGGUUCUACAACAGGGGCUUGGACGUCUGGAACCAGAACCAAGCAGACCCCCACGCGGAGGGGAAGCAGCCCUCCCAGCCCUGUUGGCCAAGAGACCUGGACACGUGCCACGCCUCCAACUCCACACUGCACAGAAGGCAGCUGGCCACCCCUCCUCAGACAUCCAUGGACCCCAGAUCCAAGAUCUCCACCUUGGCCCUCCUGCUCCACAAAGGAGAGUCACAGACUCACAGGGCGAGUUCCUGUACCUCCUGCCCACCUCCAUGCAACCUCUCAAAGGGCUCUCCAGCCCAUGUGGGACCACCAGCCUGGGUGAGGCGACUGGUCCAGUUAGGGCCACCAGUCCUGGCAGGGCCAAAAGUCCAGGCAAGGCGACCAGCCCAGGUGGGACCACCAGCCCAGGUGAGGACACCAGCCCAGGAAGGACCAGCAGCCCAGAUGGGACCAGUGGCCCUGGUGAUGCUACCACCACAGGUGGGACCAACAGCCCAUGUGGGGACGUUUCCCCAGGCAGGAGCAACAGCCCAAGUGGGGCCACCAAGCCUUGCGGGACCAAUGGCCCCAAUAGGGACAGCAGCCCAGGUGAUGGGGCCACUAGACCAGGCCACGACUCCAGCUGAUGCCAGGCUACCAGCCCAGGCAGGCCCAGCAUACCAGGUGGGGCCACCACUCCAGGCAAGUCCACCCGCCCAGAUGUGUCCGUCACCCCAGGCGAGGCUACCAACCCAGGUGGGGACACCAGCUCCUCUGGUGCCACCAGCCCAGUCAGGUCCACCAGCCCAGGUGGGGCCAACACCCCAGGCGGGGACACCAGCCCAGGCAGGGACACCAGGAUCGGCGAGGAUACCAGCCCAGGCGGAACCAACAUGCCAGGCCAGGCCAACAGCCCAGACGGGGACACCAGCCAUGACAGAAACCCUGUGGUCACAGCUAGGCUUUGGAAACAUUGAGAGUUUGCUCCUUCUGUUGACUCGCUGUGCUCUGGUGCUGCUCUUUUCCUUCUGGACAUUUAUCUCAUGCAGAGAGAUAAAGGACUACCGUGAGUUCCAACAAGAGCAGCUGGCAGAGCUGGGCAAAGGAUUGAAGAUGAUGGGUAAAGCCCUGGGAGAACUUGAGAAGACACUAAAUGCAGAAAGAGAACAUAAAAAUCAUCUUUCCAAGGAGCUGUCUGAGCUGAAGGCAGAGCUCAGAAUUUCUGAAAAGGAAACAGAGAGAUGGAAAAAGCUGUUUUUUCUAUUGUCCCGGGCACAACACCUUUUGAAGGCCUUCCCGGAAGAUGCAAAGGGGCACUGUGUGCAGGUGGAGCAGGGCCCUUAGAGGCAGGCCCAGGCCUGGGAGCUGGAGAGUUUCUUCCUCCCUGUGCACGCCCCCUAGAGGGGGAGAAGAGGGGUGGGGAGGGAGGGCAAAGCGGAGGCUAGGGUAGGGGUGCUGGGACAGAGACGUGGCCUGAAUUUCAUGAUGUAUGUAUAUUUUGAAUAAAUAAUUGAAUGUUGGAAG